CCCCUUGACGACGACAAUCUGAUCGGGUACAUCAUGGCUGGCCUAGACGAGGAAUACAAUCCUCUUGUCUCUGUCGCGAUGCUGCAUGAUGGCUCCAUGACCAUGUCGGAGUUCUACACCCAUUUUCUCACCACUGAGA